GGUUAACCGUAUAGGGGAGCCGUAGGGAAACCGAGUCUUAACCGGGCGUUAAGUUGCAGGGUAUAGACCCGAAACCCGGUGAUCUAGCCAUGGGCAGGUUGAAGGUUGGGUAACACUAACUGGAGGACCGAACCGACUAAUGUUGAAAAAUUAGCGGAUGACCUGUGGCUGGGGGUGAAAGGCCAAUCAAACCGGGAGAUAGCUGGUUCUCCCCGAAAGCUAUUUAGGUAGCGCCUCGUGAAUUCAUCUCCGGGGGUAGAGCACUGUUUCGGCUAGGGGGCCAUCCCGGCUUACCAACCCGAUGCAAACUGCGAAUACCGGAGAAUGUUAUCACGGGAGACACACGGCGGGUGCUAACGUCCGUCGUGAAGAGGGAAACAACCCAGACCGCCAGCUAAGGUCCCAAAGUCAUGGUUAAGUGGGAAACGAUGUGGGAAGGCCCAGACAGCCAGGAUGUUGGCUUAGAAGCAGCCAUCAUUUAAAGAAAGCGUAAUAGCUCACUGGUCGAGUCGGCCUGCGCGGAAGAUGUAACGGGGCUAAACCAUGCACCGAAGCUGCGGCAGCGACACUGUGUGUUGUUGGGUAGGGGAGCGUUCUGUAAGCCUGUGAAGGUGGCCUGUGAGGGUUGCUGGAGGUAUCAGAAGUGCGAAUGCUGACAUAAGUAACGAUAAAGCGGGUGAAAAGCCCGCUCGCCGGAAGACCAAGGGUUCCUGUCCAACGUUAAUCGGGGCAGGGUGAGUCGACCCCUAAGGCGAGGCCGAAAGGCGUAGUCGAUGGGAAACGGGUUAAUAUUCCCGUACUUGGUGUUACUGCGAAGGGGGGACGGAGAAGGCUAUGUUGGCCGGGCGACGGUUGUCCCGGUUUAAGCGUGUAGGUGUGUGUUCCAGGUAAAUCCGGUUCACUUUAACACUGAGGCGUGACGACGAGGCACUACGGUGCUGAAGCAACAAAUGCCCUGCUUCCAGGAAAAGCCUCUAAGCAUCAGGUAACAUCAAAUCGUACCCCAAACCGACACAGGUGGUCAGGUAGAGAAUACCAAGGCGCUUGAGAGAACUCGGGUGAAGGAACUAGGCAAAAUGGUGCCGUAACUUCGGGAGAAGGCACGCUGACACGUAGGUGAAGUGAUUUACUCAUGGAGCUGAAGUCAGUCGAAGAUACCAGCUGGCUGCAACUGUUUAUUAAAAACACAGCACUGUGCAAACACGAAAGUGGACGUAUACGGUGUGACGCCUGCCCGGUGCCGGAAGGUUAAUUGAUGGGGUCAGCGCAAGCGAAGCUCCUGAUCGAAGCCCCGGUAAACGGCGGCCGUAACUAUAACGGUCCUAAGGUAGCGAAAUUCCUUGUCGGGUAAGUUCCGACCUGCACGAAUGGCGUAAUGAUGGCCAGGCUGUCUCCACCCGAGACUCAGUGAAAUUGAACUCGCUGUGAAGAUGCAGUGUACCCGCGGCAAGACGGAAAGACCCCGUGAACCUUUACUAUAGCUUGACACUGAACAUUGAGCCUUGAUGUGUAGGAUAGGUGGGAGGCUUUGAAGUGUGGAC
rnacentral:rRNA from 1 species